rnacentral:tRNA from 1 species
GGGUAUACAGCUCAGUAGUAGAGCAUGUGCUUAGUAUCCACAAGGUCCCAGGUUCAAUCCCCAGUACCUCCA